AUGAUAUGUCGUCCGGACCAGGAGAAAACCGGGCUCGAGAGAGAUGAAGGGGGUUCAUAAGUUCAGCCAGCGAGAAGUCCAUAUCCAUGGCGGGAUCACUGACUGGAGCGGCAUCUGCAACUUGCGCAGUUAUAGAAGAUGCGUAGCACCGGAACGCCGUAGUCGACAUUGCUCGUGACCCAGCUGUUAUAAGGUGGUAAAAAGAGAGAGCAACGUCUUUUUCACUUUUGUGCUGCGCCAAAGCAAGGGCGCCCAAUGGGUUACGCGAGGGAGGUGCAUCCUUGAGGGACCGCAGCACACGCCACACUUUUACAGGACUGACAAACGGCGUAAGCGUUGCACAAAAUUUCCUCCAUCGCUGCCGAUCCAGCGCCGCUAAGGCCUCCAACACGGCAACACGGCGUCCAACACGGCAACACAGGGGCGGCAAACCAAGUUAAGGUCGCCCUCCAUGUACAAGUAGACCGGACCAAGUAAUCAAGUUAGGUUUAGUUAUUUGAAGGCUGUCAUGCUUAACGGGCCGUUGCCAGAAAUUCUUGGUAGAUCAAGCAAUGCAAACUGGGUCACUCGAGCAGAGUAGUGAGUGAGGAUGGCACCUCGGUGGAGCAUUGAAGAACAUAAUAAUGUCUGGUCCAAUUGAUAAUGAGGCUAGUUCCAGUGCAAGAGCUUUGCCGCCGACUCACAGGCCCGCGAAAAGUGUACCUAGCUUGACCGAGAGCACACCGGAAAGAACGUUUAAGAUGUGUGUACGAGUCGUUGAAAUUGGCGUCAGAGGCGUGUGGAUCUGCGUCAGCACCUAUGGCGUCAGCAUCGCUGGUCUAUGGAGGAACCGAGAGUGUGCCCAUAGCGGCUAAUCCUGCUUAUAGCACGAGACGCUCAAGCCGUGGGAUUUCGGAUUACGUGGGCGCCUAUCCUCCUGACAAAUCUCGUUAUGACCGGCGAGUCGUCCUCACUCGAUCUUUCUUUCUUUCAUGUUUUGUCUGUCACCCUUCGCAGGUAACGCUUCCAAGGCUUCCCAAUGUUCUUAAAAGCGCAAGAAUCGCAGACGUACCGGAUGCCAGCUUCCUGUGGAAGGUUUUAUCAAGACAGAACCAGUUGUCUGCCACAGUUGUCGUCUGGGAAACGAAACAGUGAGGAGCAUCAAUCAACCAUGAAGGUCACCUUGGUCUUUCUCGUGUUCGUCCUCGUUGCCUUGGGUGAAGCCGUUGCCCGGCUCAAGUAUGAUCGCAGUUCUAAACGCGGAUACGUGCCACGUUUUUCUCCCUUCUACUACCCGAGACGUCUUGUGAGGAGCGCUAAUCCCGCAGACCUGUGCUACGGUCGACGUUCCUUUUUGUGUCGAUAGGCGGCACAAUUUAGAUAUACCUUGGACGAACGUCGCCUGUCCUGGUCGCAAGUCACAGCAAACGUCAAGGCACACGUGACCUUAAGAGGGCC